CUGCGAGUGAAGCGGCAGAAGCUCAAAUUUGAAAUCUAGCAUCUUCGGUGCUCGAGUUGUAAUUUGGAGGGGUAUCUUCGGAAUCGGAACCCGCUCUAUGUUCCUUGGAACAGGACGUCGUGGAGGGUGAGAAUCCCGUGCACGGGUGGGUGUCCGUUCUCCAUGCGAAGUGCCUCCGACGAGUCGAGUUGUUUGGGAAUGCAGCUCAAAAUGGGUGGUAAAUUUCAUCUAAAGCUAAAUACAGGCGAGAGACCGAUAGCGCACAAGUAGAGUGAUCGAAAGAUGAAAAGCACUUUGAAAAGAGAGUUAAAAAGUACGUGAAAUUGUUGAAAGGGAAGCGCUUGAGAUCAAACUCGGCCGUUGGCGACCAACCGUGCUUCUGUGCGGUGUACUCGCCGGCGGCUGGGCCAGCAUCGGUUCCGAACCGCGUGGGAAACACGGAAGGGGAAUGUGGCUCGUGCUCGCGCGCGAGUGUUAUAGACCCGGCCUGUCGAUGCCGCCAGUUGGGACCGAGGUCAAUGCGUCACCCUGGUUCGCUGGGGUGGCAAUGAUGCUGGUGAAACGGUCUUAAGCGACCCG
rnacentral:rRNA from 1 species